GACGAACGCUGGCGGCGUGCUUAACGCAUGCAAGUCGAACGAAGAGCGAUGGAAGCUUGCUUCUAUCAAUCUUAGUGGCGAACGGGUGAGUAACGCGUAAUCAACCUGCCCUUCAGAGGGGGACAACAGUUGGAAACGACUGCUAAUACCGCAUACGAUCUGACCUCGGCAUCGAGGAUAGAUGAAAGGUGGCCUCUACAUGUAAGCUAUCACUGAAGGAGGGGAUUGCGUCUGAUUAGCUAGUUGGAGGGGUAACGGCCCACCAAGGCGAUGAUCAGUAGCCGGUCUGAGAGGAUGAACGGCCACAUUGGGACUGAGACACGGCCCAGACUCCUACGGGAGGCAGCAGUGGGGAAUCUUCCGCAAUGGACGAAAGUCUGACGGGGCAACGCCGCGUGAGUGAUGACGGCCUUCGGGUUGUAAAGCUCUGUUAAUCGGGACGAAAGGCCUUUUUGCGAAUAGUGAGAAGGAUUGACGGUACCGGAAUAGAAAGCCACGGCUAACUACGUG
rnacentral:rRNA from 1 species